GGAAGAAACAAUCCUUCUCAAGAGCAAUCAAACCGAAAUUCGCCUUACCGGUGAUGGGAAUUCGCCGGCGAUCCUCGAACUUUGAGCUCUUCCGAUCGCACAAGUAAAUAGAAAUUUGGUUCGGAGAAAUUCCGAUCCUCUGGCUGAGCAUCAACUGAAACGCCUUGAAUUCAAGCAUAGGGUAGACACGUAUACUCCCAAUAUUCAUCUCCCUCUCUCCGUCAAAAAACACAACCGUAAACUCCGGUCCAGCACCGCCUUCCACCAUAUUGACUCCGGCAGAUGACUUCAGUUCCCGGUGAACCAAACACAUUAAAAAUGGGAAAAGGAGAGUUCUGAAAAGGAAGUACACAGGGGUUUAUAUAUACAGGGAAGAGAGGUGGGGUUUAAGGGAGGGGUUGAUUAGUAAAUAAGAUAAGGCGGUGGGGGGUAAUUGUGGGAAUAAAGUAUUGGUAUAGAAGAAGACAGAGUAGCUUCCAGAUGCUUUUAUGGGAGGAAGAAAAGGGGAUUG
rnacentral:lncRNA from 1 species